rnacentral:rRNA from 1 species
UACAGAGGGUGCGAGCGUUAAUCGGAAUUACUGGGCGUAAAGCGCACGUAGUCGGCUUUGCAAGUCGGGUGUGAAAUCCCCGGGCUCAACCUGGGAACUGCAUCCGAGACUGCAUUGCUAGAGUAUGGGAGAGGGAAGCGGAAUUUCUGGUGUAGCAGUGAAAUGCGUAGAUAUCAGAAGGAACAUCAGUGGCGAAAGCGGCCUUCUGGACGAGGACUGACGCUGGAGAAUGCGAAAGCGUGGGGAGCAAACAGG